rnacentral:rRNA from 1 species
CUACGCGUGCGGCACCCUUAGCCUUUUACAAGUGAACGGGUACAGCGAAGCAGCUUGCUGCUUUGCUGACGAGGACGGGUUAGUAAUGUCUGGGAAACUGCCUGAUUGAGGGGGAUACUACUGGAAACGGUAGCUAAUACCGCAUAACGUCGCAAGACCAAAGAGGGGGACCUUCGGGCCUCUUGCCAUCGGAUGUGCCCAGAUUGGAUUAGCUAGUAUGUGGUGUAACGGCUCACCUAUGCGACGAUCCCUAGCUUGUCUGAGAGGAUGACCAGCCACACUGGAACUGAGACACGGUCCAGACUCCUACGGGAGGCAGCAGUGGGGAAUAUUGCACAAUGGGCGCAAGCCUGAUUCAGCCAUGCCGCGUGUAUUAAGAAAGCCUUCGGGUUGUAAAGUACUUUCAGCGGGGAGGAAGGCGAUAAGGUUAAUAACCUUGUCGAUUGAACGUACCCGCAGAAGAAGCAUCGGCUAACUCCGUGCAGAAGCGGGAAUCGGAGGUCAGCGUCAUCGAUACUGGCUAAGGCACC